rnacentral:rRNA from 1 species
UACGGGGGGAGCAAGCGUUGUUCGGAUUUACUGGGCGUAAAGGGCGCGUAGGCGGCCACCGCAAGUCGACUGUGAAAUCUCCGGGCUUAACCCGGAAAGGUCAGCCGAUACUGCGGGGCUAGAGUGCAGAAGGGGCAACUGGAAUUCUCGGUGUAGCGGUGAAAUGCGUAGAUAUCGAGAGGAACACCUGCGGCGAAGGCGGGUUACUGGGCUGACACUGACGCUGAGGCGCGAAAGCUAGGGGAGCGAACGGG